rnacentral:tRNA from 1 species
CCACCUCUAGCUCAACGGUAGAGCACUCGCCUUAUACGCGAUUGGUUCCUGGUUCAAAUCCAGGGAGGUGGA